rnacentral:rRNA from 1 species
GAUGAACGCUAGCGACAGGCUUAACACAUGCAAGUCGAGGGGCAGCACAAGUGUAGCAAUACACCGGGUGGCGACCGGCGCACGGGUGAGUAACGCGUAUGCAACUUGCCGUCCGGACGGGGAUAGCCCAUCGAAAGAUGGAUUAAUACCCGAUGGCACAGGGACCCCGCAUGGGGGUAUUGGUUAAAAGGAGCGAUCCGCCGGACGAUAGGCAUGCGUCCCAUUAGCUUGUUGGCGGGGCAACGGCCCACCAAGGCUACGAUGGGUAGGGGUUCUGAGAGGAAGGUCCCCCACACUGGUACUGAGACACGGACCAGACUCCUACGGGAGGCAGCAGUGAGGAAUAUUGGUCAAUGGGCGGGAGCCUGAACCAGCCAAGUCGCGUGAGGGACGAAGGCCCUACGGGUCGUAAACCUCUUUUAUAAGGGAAUAAAGCGCGGCACGCGUGCCGCGCUUGCAUGUACCUUAUGAAUAAGCAUCGGCUAACUCCGUGCCAGCAGCCGCGGUAAUACGGAGGAUGCGAGCGUUAUCCGGAUUCAUUGGGUUUAAAGGGUGCGUAGGUGGCCCGUUAAGUCAGCGGUGAAACCCUGUCGCUCAACGAUAGGCGUGCCGUUGAAACUGGUGGGCUUGAGUGUGUAUGGGGCGGGCGGAACGCGUGGUGUAGCGGUGAAAUGCAUAGAUAUUACGCGGAACCCCGAUCGCGAAGGCAGCCCGCCAAUCCACUACUGACACUGAGGCACGAGAGCGUGGGGAUCGAACAGGAUUAGAUACCCUGGUAGUCCACGCCGUAAACGAUGAUCACCAGGGGUUUGCGAUAGAUUGUAAGCCCCCGAGCGAAAGCGUUAAGUGAUCCACCUGGGGAGUACGCCGGCAACGGUGAAACUCAAAGGAAUUGACGGGGGCCCGCACAAGCGGAGGAACAUGUGGUUUAAUUCGAUGAUACGCGAGGAACCUUACCCGGGUUUGAACGUGGGGGGACGACGGCCGAAAGGCCGUUUCCAGCGAUGGCCCCCCGCGAGGUGCUGCAUGGUUGUCGUCAGCUCGUGCCGUGAGGUGUCGGCUUAAGUGCCAUAACGAGCGCAACCCCCGCCGGUAGUUACUAACGGGUCGAGCCGAGGACUCUACCGGGACUGCCAGCGUAAGCUGCGAGGAGGGCGGGGAUGACGUCAAAUCAGCACGGCCCUUACAUCCGGGGCGACACACGUGUUACAAUGGCGCGGACAGAGGGAGGCCACCUGGCGACAGGGAGCUGAUCCCGAAACCACGUCUCAGUUCGGAUCGGAGUCUGCAACCCGACUCCGUGAAGCUGGAUUCGCUAGUAAUCGCGCAUCAGCCAUGGCGCGGUGAAUACGUUCCCGGGCCUUGUACACACCGCCCGUCAAGCCAUGGGAGCCGGGGGUACCUGAAGUCCGUAACCGCGAGGGGCGGCCUAGGGUAAAACUGGUGACUGGGGCUA